AUGAAGAGCAUGAAGGUCAACAACAAAUAUGAAAGCUUGGGACAAAAGGGUAACCUAAUUCAUAGCCAAGUUAUUAAGAUCAAGCAAGAAUCAGAGAAAAUUUAUGAUUGGCCAUUUGUUCAACCUGAAAUAAGACCUGUUCUAAGAGAGAUUUCCAGGCAGGUUUCGCGGUCACCGUUGGGAAUUUCCGGCCAACCCAUUUCAGUUAGUGAUUCAUAG